rnacentral:rRNA from 1 species
UACGGAGGGGGCUAGCGUUGUUCGGAAUUACUGGGCGUAAAGCGCACGUAGGCGGCUUUGUAAGUUAGAGGUGAAAGCCCAGGGCUUAACCCUGGAAUUGCCUUUAAGACUGCAUCGCUAGAAUCGUGGAGAGGUGAGUGGAAUUCCGAGUGUAGAGGUGAAAUUCGUAGAUAUUCGCAAGAACACCAGUGGCGAAGGCGGCUCACUGGCCCGAUACUGACGCUGAGGCACGAAAGCGUGGGGAGCAAACAGG